AACCCUGCCUGGCCUGAGUGGUGAAAGCUGGAGUUGUGAAAAGACUUAGUUUUGUCAAAUUUACCACCCAAGGCAUAGAGGGAGGGAGGCAAACACUGAAGUUUCUCCCUUGCUCACAUCCUCCAAACUCUCAUCAGAGCCUCUCAUGGCUGGAUCUGCCAAAAGACAACUGAUGCAGGAGGUGAUGAACUUAAGCUCUCAGGACCAGCUUCCACCCUUUACCAGAUACAGAGGAGAAGAACAUAAGGGCAAGGAAUAAAAACUUAAAAAACACAUUUCUGCUUCAUCCUAUGUAGAUAUUAGGAAUGAAGACUGCAUAAAGGAAUAAGUUCUCAAUGGUUGAUUAGCUCAUGAACCCUGGUUGAUACAUACAUCCUAUGUACUCUAAUACUUGCUAUCAUAUGUUCUGUUUUUUUGUUUUGUUUUGUUUUGUCUUUUUUUUUUUGGUUCAACUCCUUUGACUUAUAGGAAAUAUAAUCUAUGUAGGGAAAGUUUUUUUUCCCCACUUCUUUGCAGCAAUUUAUAGGAAAUUUGUAUGGCAUUCACCAUAACUGCCUAUCAAAAGGAUUAUGAGCUGACCUCAGAACAUUUAUUUUUCUUUGGGUGGAAGUUGAUUCCAUAUUCAAAAGAGAAAGAAGGAGGAAAAAGAGAGUAUUAGCUCACAAACUACCAUUUUUAUGAAAUGUUUCUAGACAGAAAAGCAUCACUUAAUCAGGGGCCAUUGUAUCAGACAGGAAACUCCUAAAGAACACAAAGAGAUCCCUGCCCCAGAGAAAUCAGUGAAGGUGAGAAAAUCAGUCCAACACUAUCAGGAAUGGGGUGAUUCAAUGAAGGGAAAAAGCUCUUCCACUUUCAUCUGUGAACACUAUUGUGUGUCAUUUUGCUAAGAUAUCUAAAGGAAACAAUUAAAAAGUCAUUGACAGGUAAACGCAAUAAAGUGGGAUUUCUCCUGAGAACCACCUCAUUGGUUAGAAAUAGAGCAGCUGGAAAGAGCUCUUCCCUCCAGCAACCAUUCCCUGGUUCCCUGUGUGUAACCUCCACCCCCUAUAAAAGGAGCUAAGUCUUUUUCUCCUGAGAUUGUAAGGAGAAAAGUGGCAGUUAUUUAGAAUUUAAGAUAUAUCUUGCAUUACGUCCACCAAUUUAAAGAUUCCACUGGGAAGUCCUACAGAAACACCUCUCAAAGCCCUGCCUGGCUCAGUUCUCACUCACCUUGGUCAGGUAUUGGUCCUGGGAUUGGCAUGUACAGUUGUAUACAAUGUACACUGGUGUACAAGUUCAUUGUAUACAAUACACACACACUAUUUUACACAACUUGUACCGUUGUAUACAGUGGUUCAUUGUAUACAAUAUAUAUAACAUUGUAUACCACUUGUAUCAUUGUAUACAGUAGUUCACAUGUGUUCACAGAUAAAUUUUCCCCUGAAAAAUCCUCAUUAGAUAACACAUUUUCAUUCAAUAUUUAUCACAGUUGUCCCUUGCUAUCCAUGGAGGAUUGGACCAAGAAGCCCCCAAGAAUACCAAAAUCCAGAUGCUCAUGUCCCUUAAGUGUAUAAAAUAACAUAGAACAAUGAUAACAGUUGGCCCUCCUAAUCCAAAGCACAAAGUGACUUCAGAAAUAAAUAAGACAGGGAAAGCAUUAACCAUGAAAUAAAUGUUUGAUAAAUUUUGCCCUGUGAAAUUUAGAACACUGUUCAUCAAAGAUGCAAUGGACACAGUAAGGAAAAUAAACAGACAAGGUAAACAAAGGAAAAAUUAUUUGGAACAUUUAGGCAAUAAAAUAUGUAUAUCUGCCCAUUUCAUAUAAGUUUCCAUAUUAUUAUAAUUCAUUAGUUUGUAUUAUAUUACUACUAACAUGCUUUUAAUUUUUCUGGAUCUGCAUUUAUUUCUCACUUUUCCUUCCUAAUAUUUUUCCUCUAAUUUAUGCAUUAUCUCUUUUUCUUUCUUGAACAAAUUUAUCAGAGAUUUUUCUAUUUCAUCUUCCUUUUCAAAAGAAACAAGUUUGGGUUUGGUACUCUCUUUUGCAUCUUUGUUUUCUGUUUAGUUAAUGAUUGCUCUCAUCUUUAUUAUCUUAACUAAUCUCUUUGCAUUUACUCUAAAAAUUUUUCUAACUUCUUAAAGUAAACCCUGAACUCAUUAAUUUAGAGUUCUUGUGUUCUAAUUUAAGUAUUUAUGUACAGGGCUCUCUAAAUUGUGCCUCUCAGUAUAAUCAUUGCUUCCUUUAGCUCUUUAUAAUUAUAAUUACUUAAAUGUUUUUUUAAACACAUUUUUGAAAUCAUCAAACCUGAAGAAAAACUGCAUCAAUUGUAGUUAUAUUUUACUUCUCAUGUACUCUCUUAGAUCAUCUCUAUUCAGUAAGUUUACAAAUACAAUGUAGAACUAAUUUAAUAGCAUAAUAUAUCAACUAUGAGAUUUGGUAAGCAGUUGCACUGGUAUACUUUGCAUUGCCAAAAAUCAUGUUUUAGUAUUUGGAUCUCUAAUAUUUAUUUGAAACUGGAAAAUUCACAACAGGCUUGUUCAAAGCUGGGCUUACUUAUGAAAUCCAUGUUUCAAGGGAGAGCCACUUGCUAUGGCCAGGCCAUUAAGUGUGAGUUCUUUCAUUUCAAGUGAUAACAUGUUCUUUUUUAAGAAUUACUGCCUGUAGAUCACUCCUUCUUAGCCCACAAAUUUCUUACAGAGACAAAGAAAAUAAAGUAAAAGAAAAGUCAACCUAUAAAUGAUUUUGGUAUUUAAAAAUCUGUUUCUGUUUUUGUAGUAUAUUUCUCCUUAAGGUAUUUUAGUGUUUGGUAUGUUAAAUUCACAGAUAUGUGCUCAGUAAAGAAAAGAUAGUUGCUCAAAGAAAGAAAGUUAUCUUCCUACCAUUGCAAUUACAAUUGGUAAUUGCCAUUUCCAAUUUUUUAGCAUUUAACCAACUCUGUCUAAUUUAUGCUUUUGAUUCACAAAUUAAUAUGGCAGGAGACCUCUUUUCCUUGGAAAUAAAUAUUAAUUUUUAAAAACCGAAAUAACUCAUUGUGGAAAAAGCCCCACUUUGCUUAUUUGUCAGAAUAUUUUACAUAUGCAUAUAACAUGCAUAUGAACAGAGCUUAAAAGAAUUAUGGAAUAAUUAAUAUGAUAAUGUAGUUGAAAUAAUAAAAAUAGCAGGUUUUUUUUUUCCUAUGUUAAUAUAGUUUUGAAAGGCAACCGUGAAAUACAAUUUUCCCUGGAACAAUGGAGGGUUUAGUGGUUCUGACACUUCACAAAGUCAAAAGUCCAUGUAUAACUUUAUGGUUGGCCCUCCACAUGUAUAGAUUCAACCAACUGUGGAUCAUGUCUUAAUUACUGAAGAAAAUCCCUGUAUAAGUGAACUCAUGCAGUUCAAACUCACGUUGUUCAAGGGUCAACUGUACAGUAAAACCAAGCCUCAGUCCUCUUUAUGAAUAUUAAAUUAUUGGGUAAAGAAGCUUUAAGACUCUGGAAAGUUACUAAAUGUCUAUUGAUUUGGGGGGGUCCUGUUCACCUAAAUGAACACAUUAAUCCUAUGAACAUUCACUGAGCUUCACUAUGUCCUGAGUGAUCUGACAAAAGCUGCUCAUAGUCUCCACUUAAUUUAAGAGGUGGUUCCUGCAGCUCCAGAAGCCAUCAUUUAAAGAGGGUGCAGACCUUUGUAAUGACUGAACACCUUUCUCCCCAUCCUAGGGUGGUGCUGGGUGCAGUGGAGGCCAGAGGGAAGGGAACACAGACUGAAGCUUUGAAGCUGUGUUAUUACUCCUGACACCCAAUCCUGCAGGUGGCUAAGAGUGGGCACCUCGUUCUCAGGGUAAUUCUGUGGAAGACCAGCAACCAUAUUCUCUGAGCCAACCAUUAGGGUGCCUGGUCCGAGAACUACAAGUGUUCUCAGGGAGAUCAUGAGAUCUUCUCAUUGACAUAAUGACUGCUCUGGAAAACCCAGGACCCAAGGAUACUGUGUGUAUAAGGGCCUCUAAAUAGGCAGGAUAGGUGCUCCUCUAGUUUCCACGUUAUCCUCCAAGGACUGCCUCUGGUAGGGGGAGAAAAGAGAGGGUUCCCAAUUUCCAGAUAGAAUCUGAAGGUAAAUAUCCAUCAUCUCAUUUUAGGAGAUGGAAAUGGAAAUCUGCAUCUUCCAGGAUUCUCUGGUUUCUGGCUGUGGAAGGAGAGUUUCAACUUUCAUUUAUUGCCAGUGGUUUUAAUAAUCUCAUGUUGUUUAUGGUGAGAACGCACAUAUGUGCACAUGUGCGUAGAUGUAGACACAUACACACAGGGUCUUUAUGGAGCCUUGGAGGUAGGAGUCUCCUUCAUGCCUAGGUUUGGAAGUGGUUAUUUAAAUAGAGAUUUAUUGAAGGUCUGUUUUGUACCAGACUCUGUGUCAGGUACCAGAGUUAUUUGGGACAAAAAGUAAGACUUAAGCCCAACUUUCAGAAAUGUGCUUUUUGGUCUGGUAUGAAAAAAAUAGACAGUAAAUGUACAAGUGUUAUAAAUUAUGAGGAUAUUUUGAUGGAAAAUUCCAUGCGUCUAGAAACUGUAGCAGGAGGAAUUGGUUUAAUUCACAGAAGGUUGGCAAGCAAAGGGCUUUUCAGGGGGAAUGUUUAGAUUGGUCCUGAUGGAAAAGUAGGAGCAGGCUAGAGAAAGUGAAACCUAAAUGGCAGAUAAUAAUGUUCUAGGGAGGCCUGGAGGGGAGAGCAAUCUCAAAGAAGUCAAGGAGAGAUUCUUUUGCACAUGAGAGAGGGCCAGGGAGGGAGCUGGGAUGGCAAGUGACAAGCGGAUGGUAAAGGACUGUAGGAAUAAUAUUAUGGGACUUUGCCUUUAUAUCCGAAGCAAUGGAAGGGGGAGGCUUAAAAGGAUUAGAAAAGUCACUCUGGCUGCUGGCUGGAGAGUGGAAUUGAGGAGAACAAGACCAGAGUUUAGGUACUGGUCAACAGUCGAUUAUGAAUCUUUGGGCUAGAGACGGUGGUGAUUUUGACCAGGAAGUAGAGAAAAGAAAUGUCCAGUUUUGCAAAAUGUUUAGAUUAUAAGAUUAUCAGGACAUGAUUUAGGACCAAUAGUAAUGAGCUAAGGAGAGAGGAGAUUCCAGGAGGGCUCCAAAGGUUUGUGUAAUUAAGCAAAAUUUGAAGCUCAGAGAUUUUCAGGGUGAAUCUCCAGGAUACCUUGAGUUUGUCCUUGAAAUACUGUUUUCAAGGAGAAAGUAAACGUGCUGGUUGUAAUUUUUUCUGCCCCAGCCCAUUUGAUAUCUAACCCAACAGAUCAUUUUGUGUGCCUACUCUAUUGCUGAGGAUUGAGAACAGUUCUAGCAGUAUAGGGAUGAGAAAAAUGGAAUCACUGUGUAUUUCAAACAGGCUGGAAUGAGAGAGGGUAAAGGAGACAGGCAAAGGGGAAUCCAUCUGGAUAGAGAGGACGUGAAGGAGCAUUUUAUGGGGAAGUUAUGGUAAAGGUAUUAAAAACCAGGCAAGGGUUCCUGUCAUGGUGCCACGGAAAAGAAUCUGACUAGGAACCAUGAGGUUGCAGGUUCAAUCCCUGGCCUUGCUCAAUGGGUUAGGGAUCUGGCAUUGUAUGGGCUGUGGUGCAGGUGGAAGAUGCGGCUCAUAUCCCACGUUGCUGUGGCAGUGGUGUAGGCCGGCAGCUGUAGCUCCCAUUCGACCCCUAGCCUGAGAAACUCCAUGUGCCAUGAGUUUGGCCCUAAAAAGGAAAAAAAAAAAAUCAGGCAGGUGGGUAAAAGAGGGAAAAGAAUUUUAAGCAAAGAAAAUGAUCUGUGCAAGAGUUCCCGUUGUGUCUCAGUGGUAACGAACCCGACUAGUAUUCAUGAGGAUGUGGAUUUGAUUCCCGGCUUUGCUCAAUGGGUUAAGGAUCUGUCACUGCUGUGAGCUGUGGUAUAGGUUGCAGAUGUGGCUCUGAUCCCACAUUGCUGUGGCUGUGAUGUAAGCUGGCAACUUGAGCUCUGAUUUGACCCCUAGCCUGGGAACUUUUAUAUGCCAUGGGUGCAGCCCUAAA
rnacentral:lncRNA from 1 species